UACGUAGGGUGCGAGCGUUACUCGGAAUUACUGGGCGUAAAGCGUGCGCAGGCGGUUCGCAAAGUCUGAUGUGAAAGCCCCGGGCUCAACCUGGGAAUUGCAUUGGAAACUGACGAGCUUGAGUGUGGCUGAGGGGGGUGGAAUUCCACGUGUAGCAGUGAAAUGCGUAGAGAUGUGGAGGAACACCGAUGGCGAAGGCAGCCCCCUGGGCUAACACUGACGCUCAGGCACGAAAGCGUGGGGAGCAAACAGG
rnacentral:rRNA from 1 species